rnacentral:rRNA from 2 species
AGACCCGAAACCCGGUGAUCUAGCCAUGGGCAGGUUGAAGGUUGGGUAACACUAACUGGAGGACCGAACCGACUAAUGUUGAAAAAUUAGCGGAUGACCUGUGGCUGGGGGUGAAAGGCCAAUCAAACCGGGAGAUAGCUGGUUCUCCCCGAAAGCUAUUUAGGUAGCGCCUCGUGAAUUCAUCUCCGGGGGUAGAGCACUGUUUCGGCUAGGGGGCCAUCCCGGCUUACCAACCCGAUGCAAACUGCGAAUACCGGAGAAUGUUAUCACGGGAGACACACGGCGGGUGCUAACGUCCGUCGUGAAGAGGGAAACAACCCAGACCGCCA